UGGGGAAUUUUGGACAAUGGGCGAAAGCCUGAUCCAGCAAUGCCGCGUGUGUGAAGAAGGCCUUCGGGUUGUAAAGCACUUUUGUCCGGAAAGAAAUCCUUGGCUCUAAUACAGUCGGGGGAUGACGGUACCGGAAGAAUAAGCACCGGCUAACUACGUGCCAGCAGCCGCGGUAAUACGUAGGGUGCAAGCGUUAAUCGGAAUUACUGGGCGUAAAGCGUGCGCAGGCGGUUUGCUAAGACCGAUGUGAAAUCCCCGGGCUCAACCUGGGAACUGCAUUGGUGACUGGCAGGCUAGAGUAUGGCAGAGGGGGGUAGAAUUCCACGUGUAGCAGUGAAAUGCGUAGAGAUGUGGAGGAAUACCGAUGGCGAAGGCAGCCCCCUGGGCCAAAUACUGACGCUCAUGCACGAAAAGCGUGGGGGAGCAAAACAGGAUUAGAUACCCCUGGUAGUCCACGCCCUAAAACGAUGUCAACUAGUUGUUGGGGAUUCAUUUCCUUAGUAACGUAGCUAACGCGUGAAGUUGACCGCCUGGGGAGUACGGUCGCAAGAUUAAAAACUCAAAGGAAUUGACGGGGUCAUAGCUGUUUCCU
rnacentral:rRNA from 1 species